rnacentral:rRNA from 1 species
GAUGAACGCUAGCGGCAGGCCUAAUACAUGCAAGUCGAACGGUGUCUUCGGACAUAGUGGCGCACGGGUGCGUAACACGUAUGCAACCUACCUUACAUUGGGGGAUAGCCUUUCGAAAGGGAGAUUAAUACCGCAUAAGACAGUAACUUGGCAUCAAGUAGCUGUUAAAGAUUUAUCGAUGUAAGCUGGGCAUGCGUCCAAUUAGCUAGUUGGUGAGGUAACGGCUCACCAAGGCUAUGAUUGGUAGGGGAACUGAGAGGUCAAUCCCCCACACUGGCACUGAGAUACGGGCCAGACUCCUACGGGAGGCAGCAGUAGGGAAUAUUGGGCAAUGGACGCAAGUCUGACCCAGCCAUGCCGCGUGCAGGAUGAAGGCGUUAUGCGUUGUAAACUGCUUUUAUACAGGAAGAAACGACUCUUGCGAGAGGCAUUGACGG